UCCUUGUCAACAUUUAAAGUUAUUAGACAGUAAGACAUUCCAAAGCAUAAUUUAGUUGUUUAUCAACAAGAAAAAUGUAUUACAAGACAUUAAUUUUAUUCCAAAUUUUUUAAAAAUCUGCUUUUCUCCAUGUCAGUAUUUAAAGCAGGUGCCACCUUCUGAUUAAUUAAAUCACAAGAUGUUCCUUAUGCUAACGUCUUAGCAAAUAAAACUUAAACAGAAACUGUUAGUUGCACUGUUGUCAUUUCUUCUUCUACUUUAAAAAAAUUAUUCAGAACACCACAUGGCCAGCUUGCAAGCUUAUUUUCCAGAUCACUGAUAGCAAUGCAAUUUUGUAUUUGUGUGUGAGUAUGUGUUUUGUUUUGAAAAAGACAUCAGCUUGAAGCAGUUUCAAAUCUCUGGCAAUGAUUUCUUAAGGAGUAUGUCAAAAAUGAGCUAUUGAACACAUUUUUGCCAGGUCACUUGCCAAGUACUUGCUAGGGAGAUGUCAAGUUUCAGGGCAACCAUAAUCCACAUUUAUGAAACUACUUAGAAAACGAUGUGAGAGUUCUGUGGAUCUUGCUAAGUAUUUUUAGAACAAUCAAGAGAAUUUUGUUCCUUAGUUUUAGCAUAUUAUAGUCCUCAACGAAUAUUUUACAAAUUUUUUUUCUCAGAUACGGUCCCCAAAUUUUCUUGAGAAAUUCAUGUGCUUGAAUACUUGUUUAAGCACAAUUCAGAACUGCAGGAGGUCUAAGUCUGCAGUGGCUUAAUGUAAAGUUAACUUUUUUUUGAAUGUAAAAAGGUCAAAAUUAAUGAAGAAACUGGCAAAUUCAAAGUUCCACCAAGGAAUAGCCCAGUGCCUUUAGCAAUCCAUUUGAAAUGAAGGAGGGAAACCACUCUCUUUAACAUUUUCAAGUUUUGAAAGUCUAAUGAACCAUGCUACCUCCUGUAGUUUCUACCAAACCAAGAUGUGUGCUAGGACUGGGCUCAUUAGCAUUAAGUAGAAGCAGAACACUCAGGUCUGGCUAUAGCUUCUUGUAAUGUUUUCAUCAUUAUAGUAUUUGGUUGACAAAAUACUGCUAUCUCAACCGUUACUUCAUUUUUCUUACUGUUUUUGAUGUAAAAUUCCUGUUAUACCAUGAAUUAAAUGUUCCUGAGAGAAAAAAAAAAGACUUUUUCUGUUAAUUCUUUUUAACAAGUGCCCAAAAUAUAUUAUUUUUUCAACAACGUGGAUUCUCGAAGUAAGGUAGUUCUUGUGACUGUUUACUUUCUCUUUCAUAUGUCCCAGACUAUUGGAUUAUGGUUUGUGAGAUAAGGAAGAAAAGGAGUAAUGAAAACAUAGAUUAUUAGAUACAUAGGUAACUUGGGUUUUUUUUUUUUUGAGUCAUUAAAGUAGGAAUUACAUUAUCAAAGCUCAAAAUGUUAGCAAUGAAUUUAAUUCAAUGGCUUUAAAAUUUUUUACAUCUCGUCUGGGUGC
rnacentral:lncRNA from 1 species